rnacentral:SRP_RNA from 1 species
GCCAGGCGUGGUGGCGCAUGCCUGUAAUCCCAGCUACUCAGGAGGCUGAGGCAGGAGAAUCACUUGAACUUGGGAGGUUGGGGUUGCAGUGAGCUGAGAUUGAGCCACUGUACUCCAGCCUGGGAGACAGAGUGAGACUCCAUCUCAA